GGGGGUAUAGCUCAGUAGUAGAGCAUUCGACUGCAGAUCGAGAGGUCCCCGGGUUGAUCCCGGGUGCCCCCU
rnacentral:tRNA from 1 species